UUCUCCUUACUCAGAUGCUUGUCCCGGCACUUCUCUUUUCUCCUCCUAAUACCAGUCUGUGCGAAGUAGUCUCGAACAGCCUGCGUCCGAGCCUCGUGCCGAAAGUUUCCAAGUAGGCGCCUGCACUCGGCGUCGAUAACCCGAGCCGCGGCCUCCUCCUGUCCCUCAGCAUACCUGUAGAAGGUCUGCAAUCAAGCAAGAAAACACGGAUUAGAAGGUCUGCAAUCAAACAAGAAAACACAUGUAGAAGGUAUGCAAUCAAAGAAGAAAACACAACGUAAAUGGUAAAGGAGAAAUUACCCAAAACGUGGCGAUCACAAUGUCGGCCACCGUGUCGCACUCGACAUCGCCGACCCUAUGCUCCGGCG
rnacentral:lncRNA from 1 species